ACCGCCAGAACGUGGUACACAUUCAGUCUUUUCUCUGUGAUUGAGAACAUCAGGAGCAGUGGAGUCAGCAUCACUGCAGCUACCGGACCCAAUUUUGUUGUUGGAUUACAAAUGAAAUUAAAGUCAUUUACUAAACUGUCAGAUUCAGAUCUCCAGGAUAUGCUGGCACAGCUCUUUAAUCACUAUGGGAUACAGCCACAGAUUUCCAUAAAGGUCCUCUCUGUGAAGCCAUGAGAUGAGUGGAGAACUUUUCCAUGUGCUUCCCUGAAAAAAGCAGAACUUGAUGAUGGGAAUAUUAUGUCAGAAUUAAACAAAAUCAUUCUUUUAACUUGAUGUAUCUAUAACAGUGAAUGAUAAACAUUAUCUACAAAUUGGUUAAGGCCAUGUUAA